AGGGGACCCCCAGGUCAUGUUCUAUAUAUUUCAUUGUAAAUCAAUCCUGGCCGGCCAGGAUAUGUUAUCCUGGCCAAGUCAGGAUUGCAAACAUGACCAGCCAUGAUUUUCAAUCCUGGCACAUCCUAUCCUGGCCGGUCAGGUUAUGAUUUCAAUCCUGGCCAAUAACAUGGUCAUCCAAUCCUCACCUGGCCACCCAAACCUGGUCGGUCAUGAUUUCAAACAUAACCAAGCCAGGAUUGAUAACCUGGCCAUCCAAUCCUGGUCAUGAUUUUCAAUCCUGGCCAAGUCAGGAUUGCAUUGCGCCAGGAUAUAUGACUUCCAAACGCAGUCAAGAUUUCUCAAGCGUCGCCAAGAUUGGCCUGGCCAAGUUGCAUGUUCGAAUGAUUCAAACAAAAAAACGCUGUCAAGAUUUCCCAAGCGUCGCCAAGAUUUAUUGCCCAAGAUUUUCGGUGAUGAAGAUUUAUUAGGCCAAGAUUUUCAAGGACUUAGAUUACAUCCUUCUAUCUGCACAUGCUGCAUGCCGCUGCACUGAAGACUCAGAAGUUAUUGUGAUAACAAGUAAUGUUUUGUGUGGAUUGUGGAGAGAGGUUGCUUCCCACAAAUAAAUUUUGUGGAAACUGUGGAGCUGCUGUCUGCAAAAGAAAUGAUGUCAAGGAUAAACCUAGCUCCACAGGCAUGCUGAGUCCUUGGGCCAAGGGCAAGUAUAAAUUGUAAAUUAUAUGAUCCCAGGGAUAGGGGUUUUUGGUAUCAGGGUGGGGCCAAAAUGGUCAGUUAUGAAAUGUGUGAACAAUAGACAUUUUGAACUACUUGAUAACUAUCAUUCCAAUUCUUUUCAAAUUUUGUAUGAAAUAUCUUUGGAAGAAGGGGGGCAUAAAUUGUAAAUUUCAGGAUUCCUGGGGCCUUAGAGGCGGGGCAAAAACUGUCCAAAAUUGACCAAUUUUCUAAAAUCUUCUCUACAGCCGCACAUGUUUAAGAAAAGCUAAA